UACGGAGGACCAAGCGUUAUCCGGAAUCAUUGGGUUUAAAGGGUCCGUAGGCGGUUUUGUAAGUCAGUGGUGAAAGCCCAUCGCUCAACGGUGGAACGGCCAUUGAUACUGCAAGACUUGAAUUAUUGGGAAGUAACUAGAAUAUGUAGUGUAGCGGUGAAAUGCUUAGAGAUUACAUGGAAUACCAAUUGCGAAGGCAGGUUACUACCAAUAUAAU
rnacentral:rRNA from 1 species